GCCUAACACAUGCAAGUCGAACGGAUCAAGCAGAGAGCACAGAGCGUAGAGCAAAGGGAUAGGGACAGAGGUAAAGUUUUUCAACUCUAAGCUCUAUGCUGUGAGCUCUUUGCUUGGUCAGUGGCGCACGGGUGAGUAACACGUAGGUAACCUGCCCUUAAGAGGGGGAAAACCCCGAGAAAUCGGGGCUAAUACCGCAUAAGACCACGAACUGAGAUGUUUGUGGUAAAAGUCCCGAUGCAAAUCGGGACACUUAAGGAUGGGCCUGCGGCCUAUCAGGUAGUUGGUGAGGUAACGGCUCACCAAGCCUAAGACGGGUAGCCGGUCUGAGAGGACGGACGGCCACACUGGAACUGAGACACGGUCCAGACUCCUACGGGAGGCAGCAGUGGGGAAUUUUGCACAAUGGGCGAAAGCCUGAUGCAGCGACGCCGCGUGGAGGAUGAAGGCCUUCGGGUUGUAAACUCCUUUUUUAGGGGAAAAUAAUGAUGGUACCCUGCGAAUAAGCCACGGCUAACUCUGUGCCAGCAGCCGCGGUAAGACAGAGGUGGCAAGCGUUGUUCGGAAUUACUGGGCUUAAAGGGCGCGUAGGCGGUAAGAUAAGUCUGUGGUGAAAUCUUAGGGCUUAACCCUAAAACUGCCAUGGAAACUGUUUUACUUGAGUCAGCGAGGGGAUGGUGGAAUUCCUGGNGUAGCAGUGAAAUGCGUAGAUAUCCGGAGGAAGGCCGGUGGCGAAGGCGGACAUCUGGCGCUNAACUGACGCUGAGGCGCGAAAGCNUGGGUAGNAAACAGGAUUAGAUACCCUGGUAGUCCACGCCCUAAACGGUGGGCAUUAGGUGUAGGGUUCGUAAGGGUUUUGUGCCGUAGGGAAACCAUUAAAUGCCCCGCCUGGGGAGUACGGCCGCAAGGUUAAAACUCAAAGGAAUUGACGGGGGCCCGCACAAGCGGUGGAGCAUGUGGUUUAAUUCGACGCUACGCGAAGAACCUUACCUGGGCUUGACAUGUUAGUGGUAAGAACCUGAAAAGGAGAUGAUCCCGAGCAAUCGGGAAGCUAACACAGGUGCUGCAUGGCUGUCGUCAGCUCGUGUCGUGAGAUGUUGGGUUAAGUCCCGCAACGAGCGCAACCCUUAUCCUCUGUUACUCCGCAAGAAGGUCUCUGAGGAAACUGCCGGCGAUGAGCUGGAGGAAGGUGGGGAUGACGUCAAGUCCUCAUGGCCCUUAUGUCCAGGGCUACACACGUGCUACAAUGGGUGCUACAGAGGGAAGCAAGACCGCGAGGUGGAGCCAACCCCUAAAAGCAUUCGUAGUUGGGAUCGGAGUCUGCAACUCGACUCCGUGAACCCGGAAUCGCUAGUAAUCGUGGAUCAGCUACGCCACGGUGAAUACGUUCCCGGGCCUUGUACACACCGCCCGUCACACCACGAAAGCCUGUUGUACCCGAAGCUGGUGAGCUAACCCGCAAGGGAGGCAGCCGUCUAAGGUAGGCG
rnacentral:rRNA from 1 species